CACGUAGGGGGCGAGCGUUGUCCGGAUUCAUUGGGCGUAAAGAGCUCGUAGGCGGCUCAGUAAGUCGGGUGUGAAACCCUCAGGCUCAACCUGGGGACGCCACUCGAUACUGCUGUGGCUAGAGUCCAGUAGAGGAGUGCGGAAUUCCCGGUGUAGCGGUGAAAUGCGCAGAUAUCGGGAGGAACACCAACGGCGAAGGCAGCACUCUGGGCUGGUACUGACGCUGAGGAGCGAAAGUGUGGGGAUCAAACAGG
rnacentral:rRNA from 1 species